UACGAAGGGUGCAAACGUUGCUCGGAAUCAUUGGGCGUAAAGCGCACGUAGGCGGCUUCGCAAGUCGGAUGUGAAAUCCCUCGGCUCAACCGAGGACGUGCAUACGAAACUGCGGAGCUUGAGUGCUGAAGAGGAUCGCGGAAUUCCCGGUGUAGAGGUGAAAUUCGUAGAUAUCGGGAGGAACACCAGUGGCGAAGGCGGCGAUCUGGGAAGAUACUGACGCUGAGGUGCGAAAGCGUGGGGAGCAAACAGG
rnacentral:rRNA from 1 species